GGUGACCACGCCUGAGGCUGCAACUUUCUCUUCUCAGCCGAGCACCCAGCUCCCAGCCCGGCGCCACCGGCUCAACAUGGAGCUACCUCUGCUCCUGCCUCUGCUGGCCUCACUCCAGAGUCUCCCCAGGCCGGUGUCCACCGCAGGUCCUCUGCCAGCCCCCAGGCUACUUCCGGACCGACCGUACACAGUGUAUCUCCCAGGGGAGAAGGUUAAACUCCAGUGCACAGCUCUUAGGCAUGAGCAGACUACGAAAUACAGAUUCUUUCA